UAGGGAAUAUUGGUCAAUGGAGGCAACUCUGAACCAGCCAUGCCGCGUGCAGGAAGAAGGCCCUCUGGGUUGUAAACUGCUUUUGACUAGGAACAAAUGACUCUUGCGAGAGUAGCUGAGUGUACUAGUAGAAUAAGCCACGGCUAACUACGUGCCAGCAGCCGCGGUAAUACGUAGGUGGCAAGCGUUGUCCGGAUUUAUUGGGUUUAAAGGGUGCGUAGGUGGCUUUGUAAGUCAGCGGUGAAACUCUGGAGCUUAACUCCAGACCGGCCAUUGAUACUGCAGAGCUUGAGUUCGAACGAGGUAGGCGGAAUUGACGGUGUAGCGGUGAAAUGCAUAGAUAUCGUCAAGAACACCAAUAGCGAAGGCAGCUUACUAGAACGACACUGACACUGAGGCA
rnacentral:rRNA from 1 species